CACGCAUGACACACUGCAUAUCAAUAAGCGGAGGAAAAGAAACUAACAAGGAUUCCCUUAGUAACGGCGAGUGAAGCGGGAAGAGCUCAAAUUUGAAAUCUUCAAGGUUCUACCUUGACGAAUUGUAGUUUAUAGAAGUGUUUUCUGUUAGUAGAGUGGCAAAAGUUCUUUGGAAUAGGACAUCAUAGAGGGUGAGAAUCCCGUAUUUGGUCAUUCCUCCUAGCGUUGUGAUACACUUUCAACGAGUCGGAUUGUUUGGGAAUGCAGUCCAAAAUGGGUGGUAAAUUUCAUCUAAAGCUAAAUAUUGGCGAGAGACCGAUAGCGAACAAGUACCGUGAGGGAAAGAUGAAAAGAACUUUGAAAAGAGAGUUAAACAGUACGUGAAAUUGUCAAAAGGGAAGCGUUUGACACCAGUGUUGUUUUUCCGAAAAUCAAUUACGAAUGUUUUAUUUUUGUAGGAGUUAUGACUUCAUCGGCUUGCUCCUUUCUUUAUGAAACUUUCUUAAUGCACUUUUCGGUUAACAAGUCAACAUCAAUUUCUUUUGUUGUAAAAGGGUAUGAGGAAGGUGGCUUUCUUUUCGGAGAAAGUGUUUAUAGCCUUGUGCCUCUGCAAUCGGAGAGAUUGAGGUCUGCAGCGUAGAUCCUUCGGGGUUAGAUACGUUUGUGCUAAGUUAUAGCUUUUCAUAGACAACUUGUUGACUAUGUUUAGUCUUGUAGCUUACUCGCUGACGCUAUUUUACCUACGCUUAGGAUGUUGACGCAUGAGAUAUACGC
rnacentral:rRNA from 1 species